GUGCUUGCUUCAGCAGCACACAUACUAAAACUGAAUCGAUACAGAGAAGAUUAGCAUGACCCCUGUGCAAGGAUGACACGUAAAUUUGUGAAGCACUCCAUAUCUUU